GCCUCUUGCACACUUUAUGAGGUAAUGCCUGCCCAGUGACCAUGAGUUCAACGGCCGCGGUAUUCUGACCGCGCGAAGGUAGCGUAAUCACUUGUCUUCUAAAUAAAGACUAGUAUGAACGGCCACACGAAGACUUGACUGUCUCCCCUGUCCAAUCAGUGAAACUGAUCUCCUCGUGCAGAAGCGAGGAUUUACCCAUAAGACGAGAAGACCCUAUGGAGCUUUAAACUCAAUAUUAAUUAUCUUUAAAUCCCCUCUAAGGAGCUAACAAAUAACUUUUUAAACUUAAUAUUAGUUUUAGGUUGGGGCGACCAUGGAGAAAAAAAUAUCCUCCCUGAUGAUUUCUAAACCAAGAGCCACAGCUCUAAGUAUUAAGAUACUUAACUUCCAUUGACCCAUUUAUGAUCAACGAACCAAGUUACCCUAGGGAUAACAGCGCAAUCCAUUUCAAGAGUCCCUAUCGACAAAUGGGUUUACGACCUCGAUGUUGGAUCAGGGCAUCCUAGUGGUGCAACCGCUACUAACGGUUCGUUUUUCAACGAUUAAAGCCCUACGUGA
rnacentral:rRNA from 1 species